rnacentral:lncRNA from 1 species
GUAACAGCACCGUAGAGGGAGGUGUGCGGGCUCUCCCAUCUGUCUGGCGGUCCAUACCUACCCCUGAGUCCUGGAGCCCACCUUUCCUGCCUGCAAGUGUGGGGGAUACCCAGCCCCUAGGGCCUGGAGGUCUGGCUGCAAGAUACCUGUUCACUGCCCUAAAAGUCAGAGCCACAUCCUGAGAUGCCAGCAAGCCAUGGUUUGCAGGUAGGGGCCUGGCGUUCCCAGUGAGGCCCUGGGACUCUGAUGCCCCUCCUAGGGCCUGUGUCAGAUAUCUCCACAUAGGUACCAAGUUUCUAUCUCCUAGACAUGUCCUAAAGCAUCUAGUCUGUAACCUAAGACUGGUUUUGUCCCUAGCCCCAUCUGAGGGGUUUUAUCUAUGGACCCUGUGGCCUUGAGAAGAGUCAUGUGUUGUUAAACUCCCAACCCCACCCUGCCCCCACCCCCAACCAAAGCUCCCCAAGAUAGAGCAGAGCAGUCUCGGUGCUGGCUGCCCUGCCUGCAGGUGGGAAGAGGCAGCUCAUUCAUAACUGAGCUCGGUAUACCUGCAGGGAUAGCCUGCCCUUGUAGCAAGCAGAGCCUGGCUCUGUGUCCCAGCUGGGAUAAACUAGCUGAGUUCACAAGCAGCUUUGCAAGUUGCCAUUCCUGCCCACCAGUCUCCACUCCUCUUGCAAGUAGGCCUGACUCCAUAAUGGUUGGAACGGCAUCCUAGUCAAGGCCUUUUGGCCACCUUUCUGACCGCAGCCUCUCGUGUGUCUUGCUUACCUACCAGCACACCAGGGCACCCACUCCAGUGCGGACACCCAUGUGGACACCCGCCCUGUAGGCAUCCCCUCAUCAUAGACUUGGCUGCUUUCCCGUCACAUGCACAGAGCAGUGCUCACACUCACUUGGCAGACUGCAGCUGUGGCCCCAGGUAGACUACAGCCACCUGGUGCUAGGUGCCUUUGGGCACCUGAGUGGCUCAGGAGGCCUCUGGGUGCUCUGGGCCUUUGGGUAGCCCAGCGGGUCAUGGCUUCUUCUUUGGCCAACCUGGCCUGGCCAAGAUGACAGGAACUCAUCCGGGUAACUGGCCAUUCGUUCUCCAUGCCCGUUCCUCCGUCAUUGAGCCGGCCACGGGGAGCAUCUUGCACCAGGCCCACCGGGACCCUGACUGAACUCUCUCCUUGUUUUUGUCUCCCGCCCCACCAGAAGGUGAUGCUUCCGUCGGGAGCUGCCUUCCGGUGGUUUCAGUGAUUUCAGUGACGGCCGGGAACCCAAAGCUGCCCUCUCCGUGCAAUGUCACAGCCCGCGUGGUCUCCGGCAAGGGAUUCGGGCGAAGACAAACGGAUGCACCCGUCUUUAGAACCAAAAAUAUUCUCUCACAGAUUUCAUUCCUGUUUUUAUAUAUAUAUAUUUUUUGUUGUCGUUUUAACAUCUCCACGUCCCUAGUAUAAAAAGAAAAAGAAAAAA